GUCUGUGGCCAUAUCACCCUGAGUGCCUCUGGUCUCGUCUCAUCUCAGAAGCUAAGCAGGGUUGGGCCUGGUUAGUACUUGGAUGGCAGAAUUGAAAGUGAUACAGGCU
ensembl:rRNA 5S_rRNA 5S ribosomal RNA